rnacentral:rRNA from 1 species
GAUGAACGCUGGCGGCGUGCUUAACACAUGCAAGUCGAGCGGAAAGGCCCAAGCUUGCUUGCGUACUCGAGUGGCGAACGGGUGAGUAACACGUGGGUGAUCUGCCCUGCACUUCGGGGUAAGCCUGGGAAACUGGGUCUAAUACCGGGUAGGACGAUGGUUUGGAUGCCAUUGUGGAAAGUAUUUUCGGUGUGGUAUGAGCUCGCGGCCUAUCAGCUUGUUGGUGGGGUAGUGGCCUACCCAAGCGUCGACGGGGAGCCGGCCUGCGAGGGUGGACGGCCGCAUUAGACCUGAGAGACAGGCCACAGUCCGACAUGAGGCGGCAUUGGGGAAUAUUGGACAGUGGGCGCAAGCCUGAUGCAGCAAGGCCGUGUGGGGGAUAACGUCUUUCGUGUGGGAAACACCUUUCGCUAAGGACGUAGCGUUUUUGUGACGGUACCUGGAGAAAAAGCACCGGCUAACUACGUG